CAGUAGCCGCGGGAAUACGUAGGGUGCAAGCGUUAAUCGGAAUUAUCGGGCGUAAAGCGAGUGCAGACGGUUACUUAAGCCAGAUGUGAAAUCCCCAAGCUUAACUUGGGACGUGCAUUUGAAACUGGGUGACUAGAGUGUGUCAGAGGGAGGUAGAAUUCCACAUGUAGCGGUGGAAUGCGUAGAGAUGUGGAGGAAUACCGAUGGCGAAGGCAGCCUCCUGGGAUAACACUGACGUUGAGGCUCGAAAGCGUGGGGAGCAAACAGGAUUAGAUACCCCCGUAGUCCCUGUCUCUUAUAC
rnacentral:rRNA from 1 species